AUUGAACGCUGGCGGCAGGCCUAACACAUGCAAGUCGAGCGGAGCGGCGGACGGGUGCGUAAUGCCUAGGUAUCUGCCUGGUCGUGGGGGAUAACGUCCGGAAACGGGCGCUAAUACCGCAUACUAUCAGAUGAGCCUGGGUCGGAUUAGCUAGGUGGGGGGGGAAAGGCCUGCCAAGGCGACGAUCCGUAUCUGUUCUGAGAGGAUGAUCAGUCACACUGGAACUGAGACACGGUCCAGACUCCUCCGGGAGGCAGCGGUGGGGAAUGUUGGACAAUGGGCGAAAGGCUGAUCCAGCCAUGCCGAGUGUGUUAAGAAGGUCUUGGGCUUGUAAAGCACUUUUAGUUGGGAGGCGUUACCAGCUGAAGAAGCACCGGCUAACUCCGUGCCAGCAGCCGCGGUAAUUC
rnacentral:rRNA from 1 species